rnacentral:rRNA from 1 species
GUGGGGAAUAUUGGACAAUGGGCGAAAGCCUGAUCCAGCCAUGCCGCGUGUGUGAAGAAGGUCUUCGGAUUGUAAAGCACUUUAAGUUGGGAGGAAGGGCAGUAAGUUAAUACCUUGCUGUUUUGACGUUACCGACAGAAUAAGCACCGGCUAACUUCGUGCCAGCAGCCGCGGUAAUACGAAGGGUGCAAGCGUUAAUCGGAAUUACUGGGCGUAAAGCGCGCGUAGGUGGUCUUGUAAGUUGGAGGUGAAAUCACCGGGCUCAACCUGGGAACUGCCUACAAAACUGCAUGACUAGAGUACGGUAGAGGGUAGUGGAAUUUCCUGUGUAGCGGUGAAAUGCGUAGAUAUAGGAAGGAACACCAGUGGCGAAGGCGACUACCUGGACUGAUACUGACACUGAGGUGCGAAAGCGUGGGGAGCAAACAGGAUUAGAUACCCGGGUAGUCC